UACGGAGGGUGCAAGCGUUGUCCGGAUUUAUUGGGUUUAAAGGGUGCGUAGGCGGCUCUUUAAGUCAGUGGUGAAAUCCUACAGCUUAACUGUAGAAUUGCCAUUGAUACUGAAGAGCUUGAGUACAGACGAGGUAGGCGGAAUUUAUGGUGUAGCGGUGAAAUGCAUAGAUACCAUAAAGAACUCCUAUUGCGAAGGCAGCUUACUAGGCUGUAACUGACGCUGAGGCACGAAAGCGUGGGGAUCAAACAGG
rnacentral:rRNA from 1 species